GAAAGCACAUGAGAAAACUUUCUAGAUGAUGUGUCCUAGAAACAACCACAUGCUGGAGAAUGGAAUUCCAUAAGGUACUCUCUUAGAUAAAGGAAGUGCCAGCCAUCCUGUUGCCAUCUGCUAAAAUCCUCAGCCCACCUGCAUAGUGAACAGCAUUCAUUGUUUUCCAGAAAUGUGCAAGAACCACAGUCUCCCCCAAGACUGAAGAUCUGCUUCAUCGACAUGGCAGGGAACGUGGCUGAACACAGAGGACUCAUUUUUGCAGCUUCCCUACCAGAGAGAGAGAGACACCCUUUUUACCCGAGUUCUGAGUUGAAAUAUCCUAGAAGAGAACUCUGAUUGGCCUGGCUUGGGUCACAUGCCUGUCCUUGAGUUGAUCAACUGUGAUUAGUUAUAAGUGUACUCAUUAGUAACUUCCCCUGGAACCUUAGAUUUGAUGUGGG
rnacentral:lncRNA from 1 species